UACGAAGGGGGCUAGCGUUGUUCGGAAUUACUGGGCGUAAAAGGGCGCGCAGGCGGUCCUUCAAGUCAGAUGUGAAAUCCCCCGGGCUCAACCUGGGAACUGCAUUUGUGACUGCACGGCUCGAGUGCGGCAGAGGGGGGAUGGAAUUCCGCGUGUAGCAGUGAAAUGCGUAGAUAUGCGGAGGAACACCGAUGGCGAAGGCAAUCCCCUGGGCCUGCACUGACGCUCAUGCACGAAAGCGUGGGGAGCAAACAGG
rnacentral:rRNA from 1 species